AACACAUGAAUAAAGAAAUGGUUAAAAGGGCAAAGACAAUGGAAACAGGCUAUUGGAAGAAGCUGUGUGGGGACCCUGCUGUUCAAAGCAUUAGUGACUGACUUGGAAAACAGUGAAGGGUCAGCAAAGGGAGGCAAGACCAACUGACUCACAUCUGGAUGCCUGCACUGCAUGAAUCUUCAUGUUUAGGUGAUAUGGACACCAAUGGGAGUGAUAUGGCUAAUAUCCCAUCCGGCUGCAUUUGCUCUCAUCCCCAGUGCUGUGGUACUCAUUUAUAGCCAAGUUGACUGGAAGUGAUGCUUGGAAUGAGUCCAGGAAAAGGCAUGAACUCACACCUCUGGAUCCAUACCAAGACACCUUCACUGCUCUAUCAUCAUUCUCCUCAGAGGGAUGUAAUGAGGAUACAUUAAUUAAUGUUUAUGAACUGCUUCAGUGCUGCCAUAUUUAGACUGUUAAAGUUGCAUCUGUAGGAAUAAAACCACAGUCAGUAAUUCUACCUGCAAUACAAAGUAGAAAUGGGAAGAUGAAACAAAAGGCCACAAAGUGGGUCUCUCCUAAGAAGUACUUUUCCACAGUGUAAAAACAUCAUGGGAGAUGACAACCCUUCAAAGGCAAUCUCUGUUCUAGAGAAAUCCAGGUGAACACAAACUUUGAAAUGCCUGAUGGAAGGUCUGCAAAACAUUUACCUGACUUUAACCGAAGUGUUUAAUGAUGCUUUUUCAUGAAAAAGAAAUAAGCUUAGUGUUGAGAAGAUAUUUAUCAAAUAUUCCAAAAUAUUUCAAGGUUAAAAUGUUUGGUUGUGGGAGUUCUUUAAAUGAUUGGAUGCUUUCUGGAGCAUGUAUUUGUGAAGCUUCAUCUAUCAUACAGUGGAUUUUCUCUGGAGAAAAAUAUGUUGCCUCUUAUUUUGCUCAUUAUGUAAUACAGAAAUUCAGAAUGUGAUGAAUGGAUAUCAGAGUGUGCCCAGAUUACAGCCUUGUAAUCACCCUGAGAUGAGAGCGGGGGGAUCAAAGAGACAACUCUUGGACAUUUUGGUUUUGUGGGACAAUUUCCUAACAAAUGCAAUUGUGAGCUCCAGGGCAGGUCCCACGAUGACCUGCAUCAUAAAGAUUAAAUUUCUUUAUAGAUAA